UUUAGAAAGGGCAUAUUUCCUUCAACCUCUGACUUCCUUAAAUAAUUCAGAACACUAGUACUUUCAAAGUAAUUAACUUCAUCACUGUAAACGGAUAUGGAGUCCCAGAAAACAGUUUGGAGGAUGGGACUUAACUACUUUACCUGAAUCACAGAUAACUCGGAAAUUUUCUUCUCUCUCAUACAAAGUAAGCCAAGCAGAUGAGUUUUCUUCACUGUACCAGAUGGGGAGAUGGGACAAUCUCAUUGCUUUCUCCAAAAGAACCAAAUAUCAAUAUAUAGAAAGUAUUCUCAGGAUGCUUUAAAACAGGGGAUCACAGCCCACACUGAUGGAUAUAACUGUAACUCAAUCAGCAUAAUUUAAAAUGUUCUAGGCAGCCAUCACAGUAAUAGCUGAAUAGUUAAUAACUAGAUCCCUUUGCUUCCAGGCCAACUCACUCAAAAAUGACAAGGGACAGAAGCGAGAGCAAAUGCCCUUGUUUCACCUUGUAUAACAGCAGCAGUAACGAUGAUGAUGAGGAUGAUGAUAACAGGACAACCUUAACAGAGCUGUGGUGACAGUGAGGAGACAGUGAACAAGAAAGCUAGUGACCUGGAGUCAAAAUAUGGUCAGCACACUGAAAUGUAGUUUUAAUAAUCAUUGUAGGUGCUUUUGGGUUUUGGUUUUCAAAUACUUCUUCUAUUUGUAAAAUAAUAUACAUCCGUUAUAGAAAAUGUAGACAAUAAUAGGGACAUAUAGUGAAGAAAAUACAAGUCUUUCAUAAUCCUAUCACAGAGAGAUGUUCAAGGUUAACAUUAUAUUUAUAAUCUUCUAUUUGCUACUGUUUUUUAACUGAUAAAGAAAUAAUUCCAAAAAGACCAUAAUGGCACUUGGUAAAAAUUUCCGGCCAUACAGAAAUGUAUAUAGAGAACAUGAAGAUCCUUCCUCUUUGUCUGCCACAUGCCCCACCAUCCCAAGCCCCACUCCCCAGAGAGAUCGACAGUUUAGUAUAUAUUUCUACUAAAUAUUGACAAUUAUGCUUUUCUCUUAUGAAGGAUUAUGUCCUCUUAAGAUUUUUUAAAUCUUAAGCAUUCACUGCCUUUCCAACCACAAGCUGAGAAGCAGAGGAUAUAACUUUAUACUUUUUGGUGUUUCCUGUGCCUACCACGAUACUCUGCACACUCAAUAAGCAUUUGUUGAAAAUGGUUAUACAUCCUUCCCAAGCCACAAACUCAGUCUCAAAAUAGAACAUGUCUAUAAAUGGUGGGUUGCCAGCCUCUGGGUCACUCAAGCCGCCAAUCCCAGCAGAGACAUCUGUAGAAACAGAACUCAAAACACUGUUUUGCUUAUCUUCUAAGUUUCUUCUGUGGUCUUCCUGAAUGGGCCUCUGCAUUCACCUAUGCAACUGCCCCUCUGGACUGGAUCUUGUCUGCUGUGUUCCACAUCAGUUACCAGGACCAGAAGCCAGUACAAUGCCCACCAUGUGGUAGGUGCUCAGUAACCAAGUGUUGAAUUAAAGACUAAUAAUAAUAGUAUUGAACCUUUCCUGGGCACUUAUGAUAUGUAAGGCACCACCGCUACUUUAGAGAUGAAGAAGCAGGCUCUGAGAGGCUGAGGAAUUUGCCCCGAGUCGUACAGCUGGUAAGUAGCAGAGCAAAGAUUAGACUCAUGUCUGUCUGACCCCAGGCUGGGUACCCUUUCUCCUGCACUGUGUGAGGCGGGAGUGGGGAAGGACUCCUAGAACAAGCAUGGUCUGUACCUUUAAGGAGUUUAUAAUGUGUGGAAUAAACGUUUAGUAAAUGAAAGUGAAUACAAGACAGAAUACCAUAGUAAAUGCUGGAUUACAUGGCAUAGUUAAAUGUUGUAGGAGAGAAGGGGAAAACAAACCAGCUAGAGGUUGUUUGGACAGGAGGAACGUCCUCAGAACAAAAUGGAGAAGCAACCCAGCACCUGGUGAACAAAAGGGACUGGCGACCAGGUCCCAAGGCACCUGGAACGGAGGAUUAACACAGGCCAGGAAGUGGUGAAAUAAUAAAGAGAUGAGCACACAAUAAAAAUAAUUGGGUUAACAUUCUGGUGCUCUAUGCUACUACCAAGCACAGUUCUUGAGAUGUACCUACCACAUCUCAUUAAUAUUCCUUACAACUUCACAGAGGUCAGCGAGGGCAAAGCUAGCUGCGCACUCAGUUAAUGAGUGAGGGCGGAAUCAGCAAGGUGCUAUUUCAGAGCUCUCAAUGCAAAGCCACCAUCACGAACUCCAAUAAACUAAAGCUUAAAGAAGAAGAGAAAUAGUUAUUAACCUUAUAAGUAGUCCUAUUUUUUGUAAUUGUUAAGUUCUUUAAAAGUACAAGUAAAAUAACUUUACAUACUUGAAACUAUCAUAUCCAGAGGACCAGGUACCUGAUGGUGUGGGAGUAGUGCUUUCUCCAGCUCCCAGAGCUUCAAGAAAGACACUCGGGUAGAUCAGCUCUCCCCUUUACUGCACCCCCUUUUCUUAACCCUGAGUCAAAGACACAAGUAGUAUGUAGCUCUUAAUCCAUAUUUGGUUCCUAUGAAUGUCCGUAACAAUUCUCUAGGAACAUUAUAACUGAUAAAAAACUUUAAGCACAUACACAAAUUUCUGAGCAUCUAACUGGUAAUGCAUAGGAAGCUUUAUGGAGAUCCCCGUUGCACGAUACCCUCGGCAACAGAUGAACACACACGACGUCCCACACUGUCUCAUUUAAUCUUCACACUGACCCCAGGAGACAGGUAUUAGUAUACCCAUUUUAUCAAUGAAAAAACUAAGGUUCACUGGGAUUAAUCUCUCCAUUGUCACCACCUAUGUGUGAAUGCAGCCCCGGUCUGAGACCAUCUUCCCUCCUCACUACUGCCUCCAAGAACUAUCAUUGUAU